UACGUAGGGGGCAAGCGUUGUCCGGAAUCAUUGGGCGUAAAGAGCGUGUAGGCGGCUUGGUAAGUCCGCUGUGAAAGUUCAGGGCUCAACCCUGAAAUGCCGGUGGAAACUGUCGAGCUAGAGUCCGGAAGAGGCGAGUGGAAUUCCUGGUGUAGCGGUGAAAUGCGCAGAUAUCAGGAGGAACACCAAUGGCGAAGGCAGCUCGCUGGGACGGUACUGACGCUGAGACGCGAAAGCGUGGGGAGCAAACAGG
rnacentral:rRNA from 1 species